UACGUAGGGUGCGAGCGUUGUCCGGAAUUAUUGGGCGUAAAGAGCUCGUAGGCGGUGUGUCACGUCGGCCGUGAAAACCUGCAGCUUAACUGUGGGCGUGCGGUCGAUACGGGCAUCACUGGAGUUCGGCAGGGGGAGACUGGAAUUCCUGGUGUAGCGGUGAAAUGCGCAGAUAUCAGGAGGAACACCGGUGGCGAAGGCGGGUCUCUGGACAGUUCCUGACACUGAGGCACGAAGGCCAGGGGGAGCAAAACGGGG
rnacentral:rRNA from 1 species